AUCCACCAAGGUGUGGUCGAAGUCAAACACCAGCAGAGUCUUCAUGAUGAUUCUCCUCUGCUGCAAAACACUGGUGGAAUAGGUUUGUUAGAAGAGACACGGACAGGCAGCCAGACACAGAGAGAGAGAGAGAGAGAGAGGUAGAGGGGUGAGAGACACAGACAGGCAGCCAGACACAGAGAGAGAGAGAGAGUAGAGGGGUGAGAGACACGGACAGGCAGCCAGACACAGAGAGAGAGAGAGAGAGGUAGAGGGGUGAGAGACACAGACAGGCAGCCAGACACAGAGAGAGAGAGAGGUAGAGGGGUGAGAGACACGGACAGGCAGCCAGACACAGAGAGAGAGAGAGAGAGAGAGGGAGGGGGGUGAGAGACACGGACAGGCAGCCAGACACAGAGAGAGAGAGAGAGAGAGAGAGAGGUAGAGGGGUGAGAGACACGGACAGGCAGCCAGACACAGAGAGAGAGAGAGAGAGAGGGGUGAGAGACACGGACAGGCAGCCAGACACAGAGAGAGAGAGAGAGGUAGAGGGGUGAGAGACACGGACAGGCAGCCAGACACAGAGAGAGAGAGAGAGAGGAGAGACACGGACAGGCAGCCAGACACAGAGAGAGAGAGAGAGAGAGGUAGAGGGGUGAGAGACACGGACAGGCAGCCAGACACAGAGAGAGAGAGAGAGAGGUAGAGGGGUGAGAGACACGGACAGGCAGCCAGACACAGAGAGAGAGAGAGAGAGGUAGAGGGGUGAGAGAUAGAGAGAGAAACAAAAAAAAUGUAAUGGUAUUGUCUGCUUUGCUUAGUAUUAUGAAUUUGAAAUUAUUUAUACUUAAGUAUAUUUUAAACCAAAUAUUUGUAGACCUU